rnacentral:rRNA from 1 species
GGGGAAUAUUGGUCAAUGGACGGAAGUCUGAACCAGCCAAGUAGCGUGCAGGAAGACGGCCCUAUGGGUUGUAAACUGCUUUUGUAUGGGGAUAAAGUCAAUCACGUGUGAUUGUUUGCAGGUACCAUACGAAUAAGGACCGGCUAAUUCCGUGCCAGCAGCCGCGGUAAUACGGAAGGUUCGGGCGUUAUCCGGAUUUAUUGGGUUUAAAGGGAGCGUAGGCCGGAGAUUAAGUGUGUUGUGAAAUGUAGACGCUCAACGUCUGACUUGCAGCGCAUACUGGUUUCCUUGAGUACGCACAACGUUGGCGGAAUUCGUCGUGUAGCGGUGAAAUGCUUAGAUAUGACGAAGAACUCCGAUUGCGAAGGCAGCUGACGGGAGCGCAACUGACGCUGAAGCUCGAAGGUGCGGGUAUCGAACAGGAUUAGAUACCCUGGUAGUCCGCACAGUAAACGAUGGAUGCCCGCUGUUGGUACCUAGUAUCAGCGGCUAAGCGAAAGCAUUAAGCAUCCCACCUGGGGAGUACGCCGGCAACGGUG